AACGAACGCUGGGCGGCAGGCCUAACACAUGCAAGUCGAGCGGCACCUUCGGGUGUAGCGGCGGACGGGUGAGUAACGCGUGGGAACGUACCCUUUGCUACGGAAUAGCCUCGGGAAACUGGGAGUAAUACCGUAUGUGCCCUUCGGGGGAAAGAUUUAUCGGCAAAGGAUCGGCCCGCGUUGGAUUAGGUAGUUGGUGGGGUAAUGGCCUACCAAGCCGACGAUCCAUAGCUGGUUUGAGAGGAUGAUCAGCCACACUGGGACUGAGACACGGCCCAGACUCCUACGGGAGGCAGCAGUGGGGAAUCUUAGACAAUGGGCGCAAGCCUGAUCUAGCCAUGCCGCGUGAGCGAUGAAGGCCUUAGGGUUGUAAAGCUCUUUCAGUGGGGAAGGUAAUGACGGUACCCACAGAAGAAGCCCCGGCUAACUCCGUG
rnacentral:rRNA from 1 species